rnacentral:RNase_P_RNA from 1 species
CUAGGCAAUUGGACUGUCGCUACUUUAAUUAGUAGAGGAAAGUCCGGGCUCCAUAAAGACACGGUGCCAGCUAAUGGCUGGCGAGGGUGACCUUAGGGAUAGUGCCACAGAGAAUAGACCGCCUAAUCAAGGCAAGGGUGAAACGGUGUGGUAAGAGCACACCGGUUUUUUGGUAACAAAAAACGCACGGCAAACCCCACCGGGAGCAAGACUAAAAAGAGAUGACAUUGCGAAAGCUAAAAACGGUCUUUAGUUAGUCAUCAGGGUUAGUCGCUUGAAUUUAAGCGUGAGCUUAAAUCUAGAUAAAUGACGUCUUAAAUGACAGAACCCGGCUUACAGAUUGCCUAGCUUU